AGAACAGGAGGGGGCUAUAGGGAGGAGAGAAAUUCUGUAAUUGCUUUCUGGGAUUAGAGAGGCUCUAAGGAGGAAGCCCUAGGGGGGAAGAGCGUUAGCGCUGAGAUCCUAUCCUCAGUAGGGAAGUCUAUUAAGAGGCUAGGAGAGUCUUAGAGCCUUCCAAGGAGUCAUAGGAGUUUGGUUGAGAAACACUGCUGGGUAAAACAAAGCAGUACAGAUGAUUAAAAGAGCAAGCCUGAGGAGAGCAAAGGGUACACUUAAAUUGUGACCUGGCAGAGGGCUGAAUCAGGAGAAGAGGUGGACUAUUAGAGGACCAGGGCAGCCAUUGGCAGGUGGCACUAGACAAGAAGACAGUUGUUAUACUACACGUAGCUACAAGGAGGUGUUCCAGCAGCUCAAGGAUCACACCCAAGUUUGCUUUGAUUCUCCUUCUUGUGACCAUCUUUACUAUUGAAGAGGAGUGUUGAAUGCAGUUCCCCCUGGAGCCUGUGAAUCAGCUAGUGGGGUUACUGCAGAGUGAUAUGAGGCAAUGUCUCUACAUGACUUGGCCUGGCUACUCUAGUCCACUACUUCAAAUGUAAAAGUCCUAUUCUGGGACACAGCUGUUAGACUGCAAACUCUUUGGAGCAGGUACCAUGUCUUGUUAUAGUAUACAGCACCUAGUACGAUGGGGCUCCAAUCUUAAAUGGGUGGUUGGAGUGCUGUCACAGGACAGAUAGUUAGUCAUGAUGAGACUUCAGAGGAUCCUGAUUUUCCUGAAAACAAAGGCUUCAUGCUUGGCUGUGCAUUAGUGAAUUACACUAUCAGCAGAGGCAAAAUAUAAAAUAAAAAUAGAAUAUGUGAGCAUUAUAUAUAUUUUUAGAAACCUGAUGAGUUCACUGUUAUGAACUGGUGCUGUAGAAUUGCAAAGUAUAUACUGCAGGCCUACAAUAAUAUUUAGUUAUAUUUCAAAAGCAUCAAAGACAGCAUGUGCAGUAUUUAUAUACAUUUGCCUUGGAGAUUGAAAAGAUAUGUGGUUUUGUUCACCCCU